GGUGAAGAAAACCAAAUACCACCGUGAACACCUGGGCAUGUGCCCAUGGAGGAACACAGGGCGGCAUGUAUGAUAAUGAGCUCCAUGGAAAUGGGUGGACUCUUCAGAGAAAUCGUGGGGACUGGGACAAUAAAAGAACUGCGUACUCCUCUCUCGCUGAAGGAACUGAAAGGAAUUGAAAAGGGACUGAAAAGGGGGAUUGAAGAGGUGAUUGAAAAGGGUUUGAAGAAGAAGAAAUAAGCACUUGGAACUGGGACUUUGGCAUCACCUGUCUGCUGGAACCUGGAACUUGGACCCCCAUCACCUGCACCGAGACCGAGCCAACGGGACGUUGCUGGCUUCGUGGUGGUGGAUCCUCAUAAUCACUGAAGCCAGAGUUUCCCUUUAGAUGAACUUCACAUCCCUGAGCAGCUCUUCAUUUUCUGUCCUUCACUUGGCAACAGAGAUCCACUGCCAGCAGCCACCUCCUGCAAAGAGACCAUGUCCUCCUGGCCCAGCAUCCCCAAGAGACCCCAGACAAUCAGUCCCUGCAGCCCCAGACCUGGAAAGCUGUAUCCUCCCUCAAGAGCUCAGUCUAAAAUGAGGCCAGGGGUCCUGGAAUUGUUCCCUGUAGUGCAUCACCACUAUUGCUGAGCAUACAAACACUGUCCUCAGCAUAGUUUCUGAACCCCUCCUGUACACUUUACUGGGAAAACUGCUCCACAAACUGCUGAUAUAAAGACAAAAUGUAACAUAUAAUAAAGUUGUUAGCAUAAGAAA